rnacentral:rRNA from 1 species
GAACGGCAGCAUGAUCUAGCUUGCUAGAUUGAUGGCGAGUGGCGAACGGGUGAGUAAUACAUCGGAACGUGCCCUGUAGUGGGGGAUAACUAGUCGAAAGAUUAGCUAAUACCGCAUACGACCUGAGGGUGAAAGUGGGGGACCGCAAGGCCUCAUGCUAUAGGAGCGGCCGAUGUCUGAUUAGCUAGUUGGUGGGGUAAAGGCCCACCAAGGCGACGAUCAGUAGCUGGUCUGAGAGGACGAUCAGCCACACUGGGACUGAGACACGGCCCAGACUCCUACGGGAGGCAGCAGUGGGGAAUUUUGGACAAUGGGCGAAAGCUGGAUCCAGCAAUGCCGCGUGUGUGAGAAGGCCUUCGGGUUGUAAAGCACUUUUGUCCGGAAAGAAAUGGCUCCGGUUAAUACCUGGGGUCGAUGACGGUACCGGAAGAAUAAGGACCGGCUAACUACGUGCCAGCAGCCGCGGUAAUACGUAGGGUCCAAGCGUUAAUCGGAAUUACUGGGCGUAAAGCGUGCGCAGGCGGUUGUGCAAGACCGAUGUGAAAUCCCCGAGCUUAACUUGGGAAUUGCAUUGGUGACUGCACGGCUAGAGUGUGUCAGAGGGGGGUAGAAUUCCACGUGUAGCAGUGAAAUGCGUAGAGAUGUGGAGGAAUACCGAUGGCGAAGGCAGCCCCCUGGGAUAACACUGACGCUCAUGCACGAAAGCGUGGGGACCAAACAGGAUUAGAUACCCUGGUAGUCCACGCCCUAAACGAUGUCAACUAGUUGUUGGGGAUUCAUUUCCUUAGUAACGUAGUAACGC